rnacentral:lncRNA from 1 species
AAACUUGAACUGGAGCGUUGUGGAGGACGCCUCGCCCUUGGGGGCUCGCCUCUCUGGCGAACUUCAUCCCUCCUCCCGCGUCACGCCUGACAGGCAGGCACGCCCGGCUGGUUUCUAGGGUUUUCUGAGGAAAGGAAGCUGCACACCGCGACGCGCGGACGUCUUAGAUUUCCCACUUCCAGAAGGUUUGAGUGCGGAGCCGUACGCAUCGCCCCACGCGGAUUCCCUUCGCCUGGUCUCGUCUUCCUGAGAUAUUUGAACUUUAACAUGACAGGACAGUCCCAGUAGAUCUGAGGCAAAAGAUGAACGUGAUCUCCUUUUACUGGACUGGAAAACUCGCCUGAAUGAACAGGAGGCCAUUUGGUUCCAGCAAGGAAGCAAAGAGUUGCAGUUUUGCAGUUUAGUUUCUUAGGGGUAAUUUUAGUCGUUCGGACCUUAUUUGUGAGCUUGAGGGUAUUGCAUAGGUGUGUGUCGUUCAUUCACUGGCAACUGUCCCCACUGCCACCCUACCUCCAGCCAAAAAGAAAGGGCUGUUAAAUGAAUAGUCCUUAGCAAGGAUGAAAGUUCGCAACUCGGAGCUCAGGAGAAUGGAGAACAGCAGGGAGGUGGUGGCCCUUUGGCACUGUGUGGUACAUUAUCCUCUUCCAGGGCCCAACCCUCGACCUGGGGCGACCUUUGCCUAAGGACUGAGAACAGCAUGCCACGCCAGCUCUCCCCUUCAGUCUCCACGCCCUAUGUGCUUGGACGGUCUGUCCAGGCUCUGCUUCCUGUACUUUAAAUCCCAUAGGAGGAAUUUGAAUCUUGGUUAGCGGCUCUCUUGCUAUUUGCAUUGCCCUGUGGUUAGUGUGGCUGAAACUUGAAUUGAGUCCUCCUCCCAGCGGAUGGGGCUACACCACAGUCUGAGAAAACGGAUGUGGAGGUUUUCCACCACAGCAUCCUACUGGCGCCUCACCAAAUCCUGCUUCUGAGGAAGAGUCUUCCUUUGUUCUGCAUGAAUGACCUCCGGAGAUAACCAAAAUCGGGCAGAUCUAGUUUUCUAAUUUUCCUUGCACCCAUAGCAACUGGAUGGUACAAACUUCAUGCUUUCUCCUACUAUCUGUACAUCACCACCACCACCACCACCACCACCAUGCCCGAAUCACCAACUUUCGCUUUUGCCGCCUGAAGAUAAAAAAAAAAUGGUUCCUGAAUAUAAAUCGGGGGUAGGGGGGACGGAAUAAGAGAGCAGGGUUUUGCGAACAGCAGGUCACAGGUCUGCUCUGCCUUUGGAAUAUGGGCAAAUCAUUCCUUUACUCAGCAAAUACCCAUUGGGUAACUUUUGUUUGUCAAGCACUCUUGGGGGGCUGAAGAACAAAAACAUUAACAGUCUCAACAAUUAUAAAAUAAGCAUUUUCUCAAAUGUCAUGAGCACCCACAGUGGUGUGCUUUACUGUCACAGGGCCAAAGCAAAUGGGCAAUUGAUAAUGAACUGUAAACCAAAAUGAACCUUCCCUCUUUUUAAGUUGACAUAAGUAUUUUGUUACAGUAAUAAAAGGUCAAAUAAU